UACGUAGGGUCCGAGCGUUGUCCGGAAUUAUUGGGCGUAAAGAGCUCGUAGGUGGUUUGUCGCGUCGUCCGUGAAAUCCCAUGGCUUAACUGUGGGCGUGCGGGCGAUACGGGCAGACCUGAGUACUGCAGGGGAGACUGGAAUUCCUGGUGUAGCGGUGGAAUGCGCAGACAUCAGGAGGAACACCGGUGGCGAAGGCGGGUCUCUGGGCAGUAACUGACGCUGAGGAGCGAAAGCGUGGGGAGCGAACAGGAUUAGAUACCCUGGUA
rnacentral:rRNA from 1 species